GACGAACGCUGGCGGCGUGCUUAACACAUGCAAGUCGAACGGUGAAGGGACCGGUCUUUGCUGGUUCUGGAUGAGUGGCGAACGGGUGAGUAACACGUGAGUAACCUGCCCCCUUCUUCUGGAUAACCGCAUGAAAGUGUGGCUAAUACGGGAUAUUCUGCGCCUGCUGCAUGGUGGGUGUGGGAAAGAUAUUGUUUCGGUGGGGGAUGGGCUCGCGGCCUAUCAGCUUGUUGGUGGGGUGAUGGCCUACCAAGGCGGUGACGGGUAGCCGGCCUGAGAGGGUGGACGGUCACACUGGGACUGAGACACGGCCCAGACUCCUACGGGAGGCAGCAGUGGGGAAUAUUGCACAAUGGGCGCAAGCCUGAUGCAGCGACGCCGCGUGAGGGAUGGAGGCCUUCGGGUUGUAAACCUCUUUCGCCAGUGAAGCAGGCCUGUCCCUUGUGUGGGUGGGUUGACGGUAGCUGGAUAAGAAGCGCCGGCUAACUACGUG
rnacentral:rRNA from 1 species